rnacentral:rRNA from 1 species
AACGAACGCUGGCGGCAGGCCUAACACAUGCAAGUCGAACGCCCCGCAAGGGGAGUGGCAGACGGGUGAGUAACGCGUGGGAAUCUACCCAGUGGUACGGAACAACCAAGGGAAACUUUGGCUAAUACCGUAUACGUCAUUCGGGAGAAAGAUUUAUCGCCAUUGGAUGAGCCCGCGUCGGAUUAGGUAGUUGGUGAGGUAACGGCUCACCAAGCCUACGAUCCGUAGCUGGUCUGAGAGGAUGAUCAGCCACAUUGGGACUGAGACACGGCCCAAACUCCUACGGGAGGCAGCAGUGGGGAAUAUUGGACAAUGGGCGCAAGCCUGAUCCAGCCAUGCCGCGUGAGUGAUGACGGCCCUAGGGUUGUAAAGCUCUUUCGGCGGGGAAGAUAAUGACUGUACCCGCAGAAGAAGCCCCGGCUAACUUCGUGCCAGCCGCCGCAGUAA